UGGGGUGCGAACGGCUACAACAUCUGAACUUCUCAGAUGCCAUGCCCAAAUUACGGCAUCUGUGGAUACAUGAUUGUCCAUUGUUAGAAGCUCUGUCGGAUGGGCUUGGAAACCUUGUUUCUUUGCAAGAGUUACAUUUACAGAACUGUGAAAAACUAGAGCAUCUGCCAUCCCGAGAUGCGAUGCGACGCCUCACUAAAUUAUGGAACCUGGAAAUUAGAGGCUGCCCAAAGUUAGGAGAAAGUUGCACCAACUCCCAGCGGUCCAAGAUUUCCCAUAUUUCAAAUAUUGAAGUAGGUGGGAGGAUAAUUAACAACAGACGUACUAUGGUCAAGGUAGCAAAGGGUAUCCGUGGACCGAGCCAUUGAAUACUGUUCAUGAGCUAUUCAUAAGAUGAAGCUAGUAGGUUGCUGUAAAUCAAAGACAAAAUGGGACUGAUUGGAACGUUGUGGACAUUGGUGCCGUUGGAGAUUCUGGUUGCACAAAGCUGGAAAAUUCAAGCUUCUUGGUUGAAACAACGGUAUGCAUGGAUGGACCUUGUGGAGAUGGUAGACUGGAGCAGACUUCUCUUAGAUGUGUUUAAGUUUCAUGAUUGGCAAGGGAAAUUGCAUUUGGCGGAAACUGGUGUGGAGAUAUUAUUUACUUGUAAGACUAAGAUUUGACAGCAGAGGUCUUUCUUGUACAUGCCUUUUUGUACAAAUAGAGUUUUUGUUU